ACCGAGAGCUUCCGAGACAUCCAUACAGGGGAGGGUAUAGUCACCUAAAACCUCCUCUCGUCACCCGUCUUUUUCUCGCAGGGUAUCUGACUGAGUGACUGACCGGCAGAAAGAGGAGCGCGCCGUGAAUCUGCAGGAGCCGCGACCCGCGGAGCGCCACCAACAUGAAUCCUUCUCCGGACACCAGGACUUGAGACCUUCGGUCUACCUCUUCCACUCUUAUGUUAUUACACUGCUCCUUCCCUUGGUCACCUUAUUAUUUACGUUAUAAAUACGUCUAAGCUUUCUUCACUUGGAAAUACACCAGAACUGAGCAUGUUGUGGAAAACGGGACUAAUCUUCUUGUGCUGGGGCUUGACGUCCGGGGAGCUUCAGGAGAGGCAGUCCGGCGCUCCCGCUGCUCCAGCGCGAGCGACUUUGGAUUUCGGCUUCGUCCCCUCCGGAGUUUAUGAUACCGUCGCCUAUUACGAGCCCGGUCCCAUUGGGAUCUUAUUUAACAUGAUGCACGCGUUCCUCUUCGUGGUUCAGCCUAACCCGUUCCCUGAAGAUCUGGUCAUUGGAGUGGCAAAGGAUAAGUUUGGGGCCAUACAAUCUGAGUACCAGAAGCCAGAAAACAUUGUUCUGACGUUACAGGUGAUUUAUUAUGAGAUUGGUUUUCUUGUGUGUGCCGCGGUGGGGCUGCUGUUCACCGUCUUGUUGCCGCUGGUUGGGCUGCUCUUCUGCUUGUGCCGCUGCUGCGACAACUGUGGAGGUGAGAUGCACCAGAGACAGAGGAAGAAUGCAGAAUGCCUACGAGGACUGCUGACCACGCUGUUACUCACCACCACUUUCAUCAUCACGGCAGGGGUCCUUUGUGCAUACGCUGCCAAUCAAAACCUGAGUUCUCAGCUGAAGAGCAUGAGGAAGCUGGUGAAAAGUAACUUGAAAGACCUGCACACCUUCGCCAAUCAGACCCCAGCACAAAUCGAUUACUUGAUCUCUCAGUACGGCACUGUGAAGGAACAUGUGCUCUAUGACCUUGAGAAUGUAGGUCUGCUCUUGGGUGGAAAGAUACACGAGGAGUUGGGAAAAGAUGUGCAGCCUGCGCUUGAUGCAGCUCUCAGCAUGUAUGCAACAAUGCAAGACACCAAGGAUGCUCUAGAGAACGUGAGUUUGACGUUGGAGACUUUGCAAGACGGAACAAGCAAACUGCAGGCUAACCUCAGCAGUGUGCGUAGCGGCCUCAACAACGCCCUCAAUGAUCCUGUCUGCGCAGACAUGCGCUCACCCGCAGCCGACGUCUGCCGCAACAUACGCAGCACCCUUCCCAGACUAGAAAUCUCAGCCAACUACUCAUCGUUGCCUGAUGUAACUGACCAGUUAGACAAAGUGAAUGAAGUUCUAAGGACGGAUCUCGGGCACAUAGUUGAAAAGGGAUUUACAUCUUUCAAUGACACGCCCACCAUGGUAAAAGACCAAACCCGAAGUAUCAUUGAAGCUGCGCUUUCUUCUGUAGGGGUCAGAGGUCUGCUGGACAACAUUGGCUCUAACAUCUCUAAUUUCACCAAGCACUUUCCAGUUCACAGCACUCUGACCAACUUCACAAAAAUGAUCACUCACACACACUCACAAAUAGAGGACAUCUACCCACAGAUUGAUCAGAUGGAUUUCUACAGGUGGAUUUGUUGCAUUACCCUUUGCUGCAUGGUGGUGCUAAUCUUGGCCUUCAAUUUUUUGGGUCUGUUGUGCGGCAUUCUGGGAUUUGACCGGCACACUUCCCCGACCACACGCGGAUGUGUGUCCAACACGGGAGGAAACCUGCUUAUGGCCGGCGUGGGAUUCAGCUUCCUGUUCUCCUGGGUGCUCAUGGGAGUGAUAACAGUUCUGUUCUUGGUUGGGGGAAAUCUGGAGAAGCUCGUGUGUGAACCUUUCCAAACCCGACAACUGUUCAAGGUGCUGGAUACUCCCAACCUUGUUCAGUCUUCUUGGAAAAACUUCAUACCAGGAUAUCUGUACAAUGACCCCGAAAUGGAUCUUACAGUGGAUUCUCUCUACAGUAACUGCAAGGACAACAGGGGGAUUUACACGGCUCUUAACCUGGAUAAGAUCUUCAAUAUGGCAGCGUUCUUUAACACCAGUGUUUACUCCAGGGACGUGUCGACAAAGUUUGAAGGGAUGAAGGUGGAUCUGCGGGGCAUUGUUCUUCUGGAGUCUGAGGGCAAACAGAAUCUCAUCAGCUUCACUGAAACUGGCAUUAAUGAGAUCAACUUUGCAGCUUAUUUGGCAGAGCUUAAUAAAGGCGUGACACGCAUUGAUCUGCUCACAUUUGCCAAUGACCUCGAUUCUCAAGCUGAUCAGUUGGUUAGAGGAACAUUGCAGACUUCAUUAAAGGGACAUGCUAACACUGUCAGGCGGAUCUACAACCAGCAGGUCAUCCCUCUGGAGCAGUCCAUGAAAUACGUGAAAGCAAGGAGCACGCUUAACCAGAGCAUCAGAUUCCUGGAGAGAACUUCCUCAGAUUUGCCUGUCAGAGUUUCAGCCGUAUUAGCAGCCGUUGAUGCCGCCCAGUUUCUAAUUUCCAACAAUGCAACACUGGUGGUCAAUCAGGAAACUGAGAAAUACAUACAGACUCUCAUUGGAUAUUUCAAACAGUAUAUGGACUGGAUCAAGACAUCUCUAGCCAUGGAGGUAGCUACCUGUAAACCCUUCAGUAAUAUUGUGGACACAGUCGAGAUCCUGGGCUGCAGUUUUCUGCUGGAUUCAAUGAACACAUUCUGGUUUGGACUGGGCUGUUCCACGCUGUUUUUGCUCCCUAGCAUUAUCCUCUCUGUGAAGCUCUCCAAGUUUUACCGCAGAAUGGACACAGAGGAUGUAUAUGACGAGUCCUCAGUCUCGGGGACUUGGCAUUUCACAUUAUGAUAACCAUUCUUGCUAUUUCCUUCUUCAUUCUUUAUGUCUCCGUCCAGCACUUUGCACUUUACAAAAUAUAUGUACAGUAUAUAUUAUACGAUGUGUUUUUUCAACAUCCAUGUGUUUACAGUCGAAAAUCAUUGCGAUUGACUAGUCACCAAGUGUCUUGAGCAGAGAAUCCAUUUUGACAUCUGCGUGAUAUCUCUGCAUCACUCCAGUGUAACAUGUUUGCUUGUCUUGCUUGUAUCUUUUUAGCAUUGAGAUUCCUAUGAAAACGUAAGCCGUUUUCCGUUACGCUUUUGCUGUCCACUAUUUGAAGACAUCUCUUUCCUGUUUUGUACAUAAAUCUUUCUGCUUAAUGGUGCUGGUUUAAGCUACACGCCUUGGAAUGCUUCCCUGGUGAAGGGCAUUGCUCGUGUUGUUGUGUUAUCUUCUAAAGCUCCCUUGUUUCACACAAAGGGCUGAUAAAACAGAAACCUUAAGAUCAAAAGUACUACACGUACAUUUUAUGAUAAACGAUUGAUAUUUCUACUUAAACUGUUUCGUGCUCUACCUUGCGUGGACGUUUUCCAAAAGCACGUCUUGGAAGUGAAGCUUGUUUCUGGUCGCAUGCCAUUUCUGUCAUGUCAUGUUUGUUUAUUUAUUUUUUGUGUGUAAUGUUUUAUUUCAGUAUGGAAAUUGGUAAUAAUGGUUAUUAUAAUGAACAUUUAGAAGGUGUCCAAAACCCUGUAAUGAGAAGGUAAACAGAACCAUAGCUCCGUACACCCCGCGUUUGUCAUGCUCAUGAAUUGCAUGCAUUGGUGGAGGCGGAUUGUUUGAGGUGAUAAAAAUGAUUAUGAACUAUGAAAGGUCCGAUGCAUGCUCGGUUUAAAGUUGCCCUUCCCACAAACAAGCACCUGGGAGUCAGCUCUUUGUUUUCUUCUUUGUUUGCUAUGCUUGGUGUAAGCAUGCUGGCUAAUUUAAAGGUGAAGUGUGUCAUUUAUAUUAGCAGCACUAAACGGAAAGAAACAAAAAUAGUGAUCCACCUACCAUCGGUCGGUCAGAUAACAGAUAGCCCCGCCCCAAACUCACGCCAUUGGUUGGACCAGUGCCAUUACAUGGAAGGAAUAGUUCAACUUCAAAAUAAAAAUUCUGUCAUUAUUUACUCACCCUAUUUUCAUUUCAAACCUGUAUGACUGUCUUUCUUUACAUUUUAUUUUUCAAUAUGAAAAAUUACCGAGGUCCGGACCUCUGUGACCUCAUAGCUGGCGAGUAAAAUGAUGACAGAAUUUUCAUUUUGAAGUUGACCUAUUCCUUUAAGCCCACUCGAGCCACAGAUUUCAAUUUCUUUUGGUGCUACUAAAAUAACACAUUUCACAUUUAUUUGAGACAGUAAAGAAUUUGUGCUUUGCACACACUUUUGCAUGGUAUUUAAAUUUACACUAACAAUGCAUGCAUUUGCUUAUUGAGCUAGCAAAGUAACAGGGUUGAAUUUGUACAUGUGCAUUUUUUUUUUUGCAUUGCUUCGCUUGUGCAUUUUUGCACGUGACUCUUGAAGAUCUAACCAGGCUGUGAUUGGUUAAUUUCUUCAGUCAGUUCAUCAUCCCUAACAGCAUGAUUCUAAGUUCAAGUUGCUCUGGAACCCACCAGACAUAGGUGAGGAUGGUGAGCUUGAAUGACACAAAGACUCUACAUGUAGAUUAAAUCUAGCUUGUAUAAUGAAAAUUCAGGAAUGGUUCACCCAAAUGUUGGUAACCAAACAACGGCGGUAUCCUUUAACUUCUAUUGUAUGGACACAAAACCAAUGCAAGUCAAUGGGUACCGCCGUUUUUCGGUUACCAACGUUCUUCAAAAUAUCUUCUUUUGUGUUCUGCAGAAGAAAGAAAGAAAGUCAUACAGGUUUGAAAUGACAAGAGGGUAAGUGAAUGAUGAAUUUUCAUUUUUGGGUGAAUUAUCACUUGCGUUAUUAAUAAAUAGGCUGCAAGUCAUUUUAACAGCCAUUUUGCUGACUUCAGCUUCCCUCUUCAACCCCGACCUCCAACGACAGAUCAGCAUGAUUAUAAGCAAAGAAGGUUUCUGAUUGGUCAGUGAUAUAUGUCAUUGUUGGCAGGUGUAGAGCUCUGUGUGUUAUAUCAAGCGCCCAUCCUGCUCUUUAAGAUCAAUGGGUUAAAGAUGGAUGAAGAAGGUGGUGGUGUUGAAUUCCCUUCUUGACAGUUUUUAUUCUUGUGUCUCAAGCCUCCCUGCCUAUGAUACUAUGACUCGAUUCCCACGGGCCUCUGCGCCCCCCCGCCAUCCCGACUGGUGACUCUGAGGAGACAAGCCUGGUUUUUAACUACAGUAAGCUGACCAGCAAGCCGAACUCACAGACUGACAACAUUUAAGAAGGAUAGUCAAAAAUGAAGCUGUCCGUGCUCCCAUUUCAUCAAUUCUUUCGACAAAAUUGUUUUUGUUUUGGUCAUUUUGUUCCCGUGAGAUUAUAGUGCUGUUUUACGGACCAUUUCCUUAAGAGCUAGUCUCUGAUGUCAUCCUGUCACAGAAUCAGGGAGGCUUCACCGUACAUGGCUGUUUUAAUUACUAAACGUGUCUUUGUUUACAGUCUUCGAGAAAUCGCGUGACGGCAUAACAAUGCUACGGCUGCUGCAUUCCUCGCUCGUUUUUGUUUUGUUUUUUUCUUUUUAUAGUGCUUUUUGGUUUGGGGAAUUUUAUGUGUUGAAGUCAAGUCCACUGAAUUUUUACUCUGAACCUCAGAGAAUGAAGGGAUAGAAACAGAGCUAGCCAACCAUCCACGCGCCACAAAUAUUACAUGGAACUAAAAUGUGUGACAAUAGGUUUAAUAAAGUAUGUUUCAAGUGCUAACUGUACGAGCUAGUGCUAAUAAUCUGUGAAGAUAGAUUUUGUCAAGCCAUUUGAAAGGUGAACAGAUUGUUGCCUUUCUCAGAUUUUUUAGUUUAUGAUGCAGGUUAGCUUAGUUACGGUACCUAGAGAAUUAAAGGUAAUAAACAGCCAGGUUUUCUAUACUUUAUUAUAUAUUACUUUAUUGAUGAUGUUUUGCUCAUUGGUUGUUCUCCAAGAGAUUCGUUCGAUAAGUGUUUACGAUUUUUUAUUUCGGCGAUAUAACAUUUAUGGACAUUUAUCUGUUGAAGUGAAGUUAUUGUCAACUUAAAAACAAGUGAAUGUACCUCAUAAACGUUUUUUUGCCUGAAAGCUGAAGAUCACAACAAAGCCCAUAUACAAUAUAGAGGGGGUUAGGAUUUCUCCUCACACUUUACUUGCUGAACAGAGCCUACCUAACACUGUCAUAACCAUUGACAACUAUUUAAUCAAAUUCUAAGUUGCAAGACCUUUUGUCAGGUGCUACAUAUUUUCUCUCAGAACCUUCACGUUUUUGCAGUGCUACGCUGUGUAUAUGUCAGUGUUAUUAGGUCCUCAGGUAAAGUGAUUUCUAUCCAGAAAGGUCUCUCUCUGUUCACCUCGAAAUUUCACCGUUUCGCCAUAUCAAGCUUACAGUAGCAUGCGCAUUGGUGUUCGAUCUUACUCGAGAUGUGUAGUUGUGGUGGGACUGGUGGUCAGUGCCGUUGGUUUUUAAGUCCAUGUGGUUAGGCUGGCUGAAACUGUAAAAUAUUGUGAAUAAAAUUUCAGAUUCAAAUAACGUUUUCUCUGGUGUUGUAUGUUCAAGGUUUAACAACUGUAAAAAGGAAUCUGGGCUAAACAAGAAUGGAUUGAUGUUAUUUUAGAUCAAACAAGGUGCAUUAGUUCAAUUUGAGUGUUAACAGGUAUUA